UGCCAGCAGCCGCGGUAAUACGGAGGGAGCGAACGUUGUUCGGAUUCACUGGGCGUAAAGGGCGUGUAGGCGGUUUGGCAAGUCAGAGGUGAAAUCCCCCGGCUCAACCGGGGACCUGCCUUUGAAACUGCCGAACUUGAGGCCGUGAGAGGAGACUGGAAUUCCUAGUGUAGCGGUGAAAUGCAUAGAUAUUAGGAAGAACACCAGUGGCGAAGGCGAGUCUCUGGCACGGUUCUGACGCUGAGGCGCGAAAGCUAGGGGAGCGAACGGGAUUAGAUA
rnacentral:rRNA from 1 species